GGCCAUAGCUCAGUUGGUAGAGCAUCAGUUUUGCAUGCAAAAGGCCCCAGGUUUAAUCCUGAGAUCACCA